CCUAGUAAUAGUAGCUGCUCUUUCACACUUGCUGCUUUGGGGACCCUUAGACUCAGAGCUUCUUUACCUCUUUUAAUAGUUAACCACCUCUCCCUGUUCUAGUUAACAAUUCAUCAAAAUAAUUUUCCAAUAACCAGUAUAGUUGUGUCUCCUGACUGCACUCAGACUAAAGAGUUCACUGUACAGCUCUUCUGUAUGUUUGAAAAUGUUGGAGGAGGGAAGCAGGGAGAUGUAUUUUUAAAAAUUGCCAAAAUGUUAAUAACUGUUGAAGCUGGAUAAUGGACUGAGAAAAUUAUACUAUCUCACCGUUUUCUUUGUUUGAAAUUUCUGUAAAAGUUUUUAAAAGGGAAGAAAAAGAAGUGCUUCAUAAAGGUCAAAACAUUUCGAGAGAUUUUAACAGGCAAAAUGGAGGAUGAGAUUCCAGGUGUGAAAAAGCAUACAUCAAAUAUGGCAGCAGAAAACUGAAGGACAUGCUUGAGCAAUAGCAGGACAAACAACUAGGAACUCCAUGGGGUACCCAAGGCAAAAGAAAUGCCCCCACAAAGAUAUGCUGCAGCUGCUCCUGCUCUGGAUGAUGCCUUGCUUCCCCUACAUUCUGGCAGCCGUGCUACAGAACUUUCUGUGAUAAUGAACAUGUUUGCUCUUCUCUCACAUGUGGCUACUGAGUAAUUGAAACAUAACUAGUGUGACUGAGAAAUAGUAUUUUUAAUUAAUUUUUUAUUGAAAUAGAGUUGACAUACAACAUUAUAUUAGUUUCAGGUAUACUAUAUAAUGAUUUGAUAUUUGCAUACAUUAUGAAAUGAUCACCACAAGUCUAGUAACCACCUGUCCCCAUACAAAGUUAUUACUAUAUUAUCAUAUUCCUAGUGUUGAAUAUUAAAUCCCCGGGACUUAUUUAUUAUAUAA